rnacentral:rRNA from 1 species
UACGUAGGGACCGAGCGUUGUCCGGAAUCAUUGGGCGUAAAGCGUGAGCAGGCGGUUCGUGAUGUCUGGUGUGAAAGCCCCGGGCUUAACCUGGGAAUUGCAUUGGAAACUAGCGGGCUGGAGUGUGGCAGAGGGGGGUGGAAUUCCACGUGUAGCAGUGAAAUGCGUAGAGAUGUGGAGGAACACCGAUGGCGAAGGCAGCCCCCUGGGCUAACACUGACGCUCAUGCACGAAAGCGUGGGGAGCAAACAGG